CGCCUCUUGAUAAGAGGUCCAGCCUGCCCAGUGACGUUCAACGGCCGCGGUAUCCUAACCGUGCAAAGGUAGCGUAAUCACUUGUUUUCUAAAUAAAGACUAGUAUGAAAGGCACCACGAGGAGUAAGCUGUCUCCUUUUUCUAAUCAGUGAACCUAAUCUCCCCGUGAAGAAGCGGGGAUUAAAAUAUAAGACGAGAAGACCCUGUGGAGCUUAAGACUUUAUAAAAUCUAUAUUCUAAUUGUACGUCUUUGGUUGGGGUGACCGCGGAGAAAAACUGACCCUCCACAAUGAAAAACAAUAAGCUACAGCUUUAUGUAUCAAAAAAUUGACAUGUUGACCCAAUAAGUUGAUCAAUGAACCAAGUUACCCCAGGGAUAACAGCACAAUCCGCUUUGAGAGCUCAUAUCGACAAGCGGGCUUAUGACCUCGAUGUUGGAUCGGGGUAUCCUAGUGGUGUAGCCGCUACUAAAGGUUUGUUUGUUCAACAAUUAAAACCCC
rnacentral:rRNA from 1 species